AGAACCUGAAACCGUGUGCUUACAAGUAGUCAGAGCCCGUUAAUGGGUGAUGGCGUGCCUUUUGUAGAAUGAACCGGCGAGUUACGAUUUGAUGCAAGGUUAAGCAGUAAAUGUGGAGCCGUAGCGAAAGCGAGUCUGAAUAGGGCGUUUAGUAUUUGGUCGUAGACCCGAAACCAGGUGAUCUACCCUUGGUCAGGUUGAAGUUCAGGUAACACUGAAUGGAGGACCGAACCGACUUACGUUGAAAAGUGAGCGGAUGAACUGAGGGUAGCGGAGAAAUUCCAAUCGAACCUGGAGAUAGCUGGUUCUCUCCGAAAUAGCUUUAGGGCUAGCCUCAAGUGAUGAUUAUUGGAGGUAGAGCACUGUUUGGACGAGGGGCCCCUCUCGGGUUACCGAAUUCAGACAAACUCCGAAUGCCAAUUAAUUUAACUUGGGAGUCAGAACAUGGGUGAUAAGGUCCGUGUUCGAAAGGGAAACAGCCCAGACCACCAGCUAAGGUCCCAAAAUAUAUGUUAAGUGGAAAAGGAUGUGGCGUUGCCCAGACAACUAGGAUGUUGGCUUAGAAGCAGCCAUCAUUUAAAGAGUGCGUAAUAGCUCACUAGUCGAGUGACACUGCGCCGAAAAUGUACCGGGGCUAAACAUAUUACCGAAGCUGUGGAUUGUCCUUUGGACAAUGGUAGGAGAGCGUUCUAAGGGCGUUGAAGCAUGAUCGCAAGG
rnacentral:rRNA from 1 species